rnacentral:rRNA from 1 species
AUUGAACGCUGGCGGCAGGCCUAACACAUGCAAGUCGAACGGAAGAACGGUACGUGCUCGUGGAUACAGCUGCCGACGGGUGGGUAAUUCAUAGGAACCUGCCUAUCUGUUUUUUAUAACGGGCUAACACGGGGGCUAAUACCCCAAUCGUCCUUACGACGUACGGGGGGGAGCAUCGGACCUUCGGCCCUUACGCGAGUGUAUGACCCGAUGUCGGAUUAGCUAGUUGGCGGGGUAAAGGCCCACCAAGGCGACGAUCCGUAGCUGGUCUGAGAGGAUGAUCAGCCACACUGGAACUGAGACACGGUCCAGACUCCUACGGGAGGCAGCAGUGGGGAAUAUUGGACAAUGGGCGAAAGCCUGAUCCAGCCAUGCCGCGUGUGUGAAGAAGGUCUUCGGAUUGUAAAGCCCUUUUGUUUGGGAAGAAGAGCAGUAGGUUAAUACCCCGCUGUUCUGACGGUACCCAAAGAAUAAGCACCGGCUAACUUCGUG